GUUGAAACACCAGUUCUCAUCUGAUCAUCAAAGUUAAGCAACAUUGAGCCUGGUCAGUACUCAGAUCGAUGAUCACUGGGGAAGAUCAAGUAC